rnacentral:tRNA from 1 species
CUCUCCUUAGCUCAGUGGACACGAGCAUAUGCCUUCUAAGCAUACGGUCACAGGUUCGAAUCCUGUAGGAGAGG